UACGUAGGGGGCGAGCGUUAUCCGGAUUUACUGGGCGUAAAGCGCGUUAAGGCGAUUGGCAAAGUUGGUUGUGAAAUCUCAGGGCUCAACCCUGAAAUUGCGACCAAUACUGGUCGACUAGAGUGUGAGAGAGGAAGGUGGAAUUCCCGGUGUAGUAGUGAAAUGCGUAGAUAUCGGGAGGAACACCAGUGGCGAAGGCGGCCUUCUGGCUCAUAACUGACGCUGUAGCGCGAAAGCGUGGGGAGCGAACCGG
rnacentral:rRNA from 1 species